rnacentral:rRNA from 1 species
GAUGAACGCUGGCGGCGUGCUUAACACAUGCAAGUCGAACGAAGCACUUUAUUUGAUUUCCUUCGGGACUGAUUAUUUUGUGACUGAGUGGCGGACGGGUGAGUAACGCGUGGGUAACCUGCCUUGUACAGGGGGAUAACAGUUGGAAACGGCUGCUAAUACCGCAUAAGCGCACGGCAUCGCAUGAUGCAGUGUGAAAAACUCCGGUGGUAUAAGAUGGACCCGCGUUGGAUUAGCUUGUUGGUGGGGUAACGGCCCACCAAGGCGACGAUCCAUAGCCGGCCUGAGAGGGUGAACGGCCACAUUGGGACUGAGACACGGCCCAGACUCCUACGGGAGGCAGCAGUGGGGAAUAUUGCACAAUGGGGGAAACCCUGAUGCAGCGACGCCGCGUGAAGGAAGAAGUAUCUCGGUAUGUAAACUUCUAUCAGCAGGGAAGAUAGUGACGGUAC